rnacentral:rRNA from 1 species
AGUGAACGCUGGCGGUAGGCCUAACACAUGCAAGUCGAACGGCAGCACAGGAGAGCUUGCUCUCUAGGUGGCGAGUGGCGGACGGGUGAGGAAUACAUCGGAAUCUGCCCAGUCGUGGGGGAUAACGUAGGGAAACUUACGCUAAUACCGCAUACGACCUUCGGGUGAAAGAGGGGGAUCGCAAGACCUCUCGCGAUUGGAUGAGCAGAGGUCGGAUUAGCUAGUUAGCGGGGUAAUGGCCCACCAAGGCGACGAUCCGUAGCUGGUCUGAGAGGAUGAUCAGCCACACUGGAACUGAGACACGGUCCAGACUCCUACGGGAGGCAGCAGUAGGGAAUAUUGGACAAUGGGCGCAAGCCUGAUCCAGCCAUACCGCGUGAGUGAAGAAGGCCUUCGGGUUGUAAAGCCCUGUUGUUGGGAAAGAAAUCGUUCAGGCUAAUACCCUGGGAGGAUGACGGUACCCAAAGAAUAAGCACCGGCUAACUUCGUG